UUUCCCGCCAUCUAGAAGACUUCAUACUGAAACGGAAGAAAAUGCCGGCGAAAACAAGGAAAAAGCGAGCGUCUCCGUUGAAAUCUGAGGAUAAGAUUGAAGAGACAAGUCCAAAGAAACAAAAGAUAUCAAAAUCUGGUCCAGAUUUUAAGAUAACCAUUGAACAUUGCAAAUCCUGACAGGUGUUCAAGCGCAAGGCCUUGGCUCUCGUUGAGGACUUGCGCACAGAGUAUGGGGAUUUCGAGGUUGAGUACAAUCCCUCAGUCCCCCGACGUGGUAGCUUUGAGAUCAUCAUUCACAAGGAAGGCAAAGAUGAUGUCACUGUGUGGACUGGACUAAAAAAGGGACCUCCAAGGAAGUUGAAAUUCCCUGAAGUUACUGAGGUUGUUCAGGCAAUCAACAAAGGGAUGUGAACUGGACCAAUUAUUAAC